rnacentral:lncRNA from 1 species
AUGUGAUGCUGGAUGUUGCAUCUAAAUACAGAAAUACAUCAAAUUACAUCCAAAUCAGCCACAUACAUCCGAAUACAUUCAAAUUAAUCUAAGACAAACCACACUAAUUAGAGUUUUCAAAUCUACCAUAGUCUAAUACAACCACUGUAAAACAAGCCCAACAUGGCAACCUUAACCAAAUAUAUGAAAGACAAAAUCUCAUCCAUCAUUUCCACGUAAAAGUUAUAGUGAUAUUCCUGAAAUGAAAAACAAAAUGUUAGUUGAAAACUCUAUAAUUAAAAUAUCUUUUAUAAGAAGAUUUUUACAAUCACCUAGAGAUGAAUAACUAUCAUUAUCUACACUUGGGUUGGGAGUUGCGCCGUCAUGACAAGGUGAAUACCUGCAACAAAAAUGACAUAUCAUAAAUUAUUUAGAUACAACUUCGAAACUAUGAAAACGAAUGAAAAUUUACAAAUUUCUUACCGAUUUGUAAGCAUGGGACAAUCAUAAAAUCCACCAAUGAAUUAUUUUUUGAAACAUAUUUUUUGAAGAAUGAGUGAGAAUAAAUUUAAAAAGGCUAAAAUAACAAGUUUGUUUUUGUAUUGAGCACCUAUUGUUCUAUUUUUCUACUAAUAUAACUAAUUUUCGCCAAUCUUCAAUCAUGGGCUCAACUAGCCUCUGUUUGUAGCAAUGUCCGAUCAUAAAAUUGAGAACAAGAAGUGCUUCUCCACAAAAUGAGGGUGGGCUGUCUCUCUCUCCGACCCGACUCUUUCCUUUGAGGAAAGAGAGUAAGGGUCGACCUACUCAAUGGUAAAAUGGUUAAAAGAUAAAGUAUCAAUAUCUCACUUGGUUACAAUUUAUAAAGUAAUUGUACUCUAGUUAGCCCGAACAAUCAACCAAAUAAACGAAUUCUCAGAUAAAUUUUGCAAUGAGAUGGAACAACUCAAGCUGGAAAUAGAUGAAGAACGCAGAGCAAGAUCAAGACUUAAACAGGUCCUACGGCUGAGGAAGUAGACUCUUUAGACAUUGCAACUUACUCUUGUACAUGGAGAAAACAGAGAACAAAGAGGCCCUCACAUAAACAAUACACUUUCCCCAAAACAAACCCUAGAUUUCUUUCAAAUCAAAUAGAAAUUACAUAAUUAAGUCAGAAUCUUUACCUUCCGAUUCUCUUUGUAAGAAUCUUUACCUUCCGAUUUGCAACACCACCUGUUCGAUCGCCUUUUUACCCUUCCGAUUUACAAUAGGCGAGCUGAUAGAGAGAGGGAGAGAGGGACAAG